UACAGAGGUCUCAAGCGUUGUUCGGAAUUACUGGGCGUAAAGAGUGUGUAGGCGGUGCUCUAAGUUCGGUGUGAAAUCUCCUGGCUCAACUGGGAGGGUGCGCCGGAAACUGGAGUGCUUGAGCGUGGGAGAGGAAAGCGGAAUUCCUGGUGUAGCGGUGAAAUGCGUAGAUAUCAGGAGGAACACCUGUGGUGUAGACGGCUCUCUGGACCAUAGCUGACGCUGAGACACGAAAGCGUGGGUAGCAAACAGG
rnacentral:rRNA from 1 species